AUUGAACGCUGGCGGCAGGCCUAACACAUGCAAGUCGAACGAGUGGCGGACGGGUGAGUAAUGUCUGGGAAACUGCCUGAUGGAGGGGGAUAACUACUGGAAACGGUAGCUAAUACCGCAUACCAUCAGAUGUGCCCAGCUGGGAUUAGCUUGUUGGUGGGGUAACGGCUCACCAAGGCGACGAUCCCUAGCGGGUCUGAGAGGAUGACCAGCCAAACUGGAACUGAGACACGGUCCAAACUCCAACGGGAGGCAGCAGGGGGGAAUAUUGCACAAUGGGCGCAAUCCUGAGGCAGCCAGGCCGCGUGGAUGAAGAAGGCCUUCGGAUUGUAAAGCACUUUAAGUUGGGAGGCGUUACCAACAGAAUAAGCACCGGCUAACUUCGUGCCAGCAGCCGCGGUAAUAC
rnacentral:rRNA from 1 species